UCAUUCUAUACCCCAUUAUUUGCCCGACCCCUGUCUGCUCAGUUUUAGGUUGGGGUGACCACGGAGUAUAAAAUAACCUCCAUGAAGAAGGGGAUAUUUCCCUUAUUAGAGAACCACACUUCCAAGAACUAAUAAAUUAAUUUUCAAUGACCCGAUACCCGAUAAUCGAUCAACGAACCAAGUUACCCUGGGGAUAACAGCGCAAUCCACCCUGAAAGCCCUUAUUAACAGGUGGGUUUACGACCUCGAUGUUGGAUCAGGGUAUCCCAGUGGUGCAGCAGCUACUGAGGGUUCGUUUGUUCAACGAUUAAAACCCU
rnacentral:rRNA from 1 species